rnacentral:rRNA from 1 species
GAUGAACGCUGCGGCGUGCGUAACACAUGCAAGUUGAACGACGGUGCCAUGAAGUGGUAACACGGAGUGGUAUACGGAGUAGCGGACGGGUGAGUAAAGCAUGAGAAUCUGUCCUGUCGAGGGGGAUAACGUUCGGAAACGGACCCUAAUACCCCAUAGUCCGAGAGGUUAAAGGCAGCGAUGCGCGGCAGGAGGAGCUCGUGUCCUAUCAGCUGGUUGGUGAGGUAACGGCUCACCAAGGCUUCGACGGGUAGCCGGCCUGAGAGGGUGACCGGCCACACUGGAACUGAGAAACGGUCCAGACUCCUACGGGAGGCAGCAGUGGGGAAUAUUGGGCAAUGGGAGGAAUCCUGACCCAGCGACGCCGCGUGAACGAAGACGGCCUUCGGGUUGUAAAGUUCUUUUAUGUGGGAAGAAUGAAGUGACGGUACCACAUGAAUAAGCCCGGCUAA